GAUGAAGAACGCAGCGAAAUGCGAUAAGUAAUGUGAAUUGCAGAAUUCAGUGAAUCAUCGAAUCUUUGAACGCACAUUGCGCCCCUUGGUGUUCCGAGGGGCAUGCCUGUUCGAGCGUCAUUAUAACCCCUCAAGCUCAGCUUGGUGUUGGGGCCUGCCGCACGGGCAGCCCUUAAAAUCAGUGGCGGUGCCAUCUGGCUCUAAGCGUAGUAAUUCUUCUCGCUAUAGAGUCCCGGUGGAUGCUUGCCAUUAACCCCCAAUUUUCUAUGGUUGACCUCGGAUCAGGUAGGGAUACCCGCUGAACUUAAGCAUAUCAAUAAGCGGAGGA
rnacentral:misc_RNA from 1 species